AAGUUUCCACGCAUUUCAAAAAGGAAUUGUCGUUUCUGCAUCAGCUGGGAAUAGUUUUUUUCCAAGUACUGCAACUAAUGUUGCUCCUUGGAUCCUUACUGUUGCAGCAAGCACCAUGGACCGUGAAAUUCAGACUAAUAUCUACCUAGGAAAUUCAAAAGUCAUAAAGGUAAUUGAUUGAUAAUUAUUUACUUCCCUCACCUAAUUCAAAACAAAGAUUUCUGGUACUGAUUUACAGGUCCAUAUGUUUAGGGAUUCAGUAUAAAUCCACUUAAAAUGGAGAGCUUUUAUGGUUUGAUAGCAGGGAGCUUCGCAACGUCUCCCGGAGUUUCCCCCCAAAAUGCUAGGUAUCAUAUUUAUUUUUAAGAGAACUUCGGGUUCACUCUCGAUAAAUGCAUACUCAUGGAAUAUGUCAGCAUCCCUGCCUAAAAUUUUUACAUGCUUCUCUUAAUCAUGUCGAAAGUAUGAAGUGUCCUUAGGUACUUUAAUAGGACUUUCUUAGGUACUUUAAUAGGACUUUACACACUCAAUAAUUCCACUAAUGAUCUAUUUGUUCUGAAAUUUCUCUAUUUUUAUCGUUUCCUUGCAGUUUCUGUAAGAACAACACCUUAGAUCCCAACUUGAUCAAGGGGAAGAUUGUUGUCUGCACACUUGAGUUACUCACUGAUAACCGCAGAGAGAAGGGCAUUAUUGUAAAACAAGGUGGAGGUGUAGGGAUAAUACUCGUUGAUCCACUCGCCAAAGAUAUCGAAAUUCAGUUUGUACUACCAGGUACCAUGAUAGGUCAAGAAGAAGGAGCACAGCUGCGAGAAUAUAUGACUGUACAGAAGUAAGUUGGAUUUUUAUCUAAAUUGAAAAGAAAGAACCAAUUUGUCAACUAUUAAUUACAAAGAUAUGUAACAUUUACGAUUUAAUAGUCAAGCAGUAAAAUACUUAUUUGGUCGUUACAGGAAUCCAGUGGCCAGAUUAUACCAAACAGUUACAGUUUUGCCCACUAAGCCAGCCCCCGAAAUGGCAAUGUUCUCAUCAAUGGGUCCAAAUGUUAUCUCUCCAGAUAUAAUCAAAGUACAUACUUUAACCUUUUGAAAUUUCCCUAUUGGAAAUGCAUUUAAUGAGCUUUACAGUGAAUAUGAACAAUAAAAAUGAGGAAAGAGAAGCCCAUUGUAAUUUCCUUAAUUUCUUAAAGAAAAAUUUCACAUACCUGAACGCAACAACCUUGUCUUCUGAUUUCAGCCCGAUAUAACAGCACCUGGAGUGAAUGUUUUGGCAGCAUGGUCUCCAGUUGCUACCGAUGCUACUGCUGGUAGAUCCCUUGACUACAACAUAAUCUCUGGUACUUCCAUGUCUUGUCCACAUGUUUCUGCACUAGCUGCCAUUGUAAAAUCCUCUCAUCCUUCAUGGAGCCCUGCAGCAAUAAAGUCUGCAAUAAUGACAACAGGUAACUUUUGAUGAUUAAAAAACAGAUAACCGGUUAACAUAAUACAUCCAUUUAUUCAUUUUCAUGUAAGCGUGAUUUUUUUUGGAACAGCAACAAUUCUUGAUAACACUCGGAGCUUUAUCAGAAGACAUCCAAAUGACACUCAGACCUCACCUUUUGACCAUGGAUCAGGCCAAAUAAAUCCAGCUGCAGCAAUUGAUCCUGGUUUAGUUUAUGAUUUGGAUUCUACCGACAUCAUUGAUUUCCUCUGCAGCACUGGUGCAAGUCCUGCUCAGCUGAAAAACCUUACUGGUGAUACAAUGUAUUGCAAGAACAAUCCCACAUCCCCUUAUGAUUUCAACUAUCCUUCAAUUGGGGUCUCUAAUAUGAAAGGAAAUCUGUCGGUGCAUAGAAAGGUGACAUACAUCGGUAAAGGGCCAACUGUUUAUAAAGCAAAAAUGGACUACCCGGAUGGUGUAAAAGUCUCAGUCAUACCUAGUGAGCUCAAAUUUAAAAAUCCAGGUGAGAAAAUGUCUUUUAGGAUAGAGUUUACACCCUACAAGACUAGUAACGGAGACUUUGUUUUUGGGGCCUUGACUUGGACUAACGGGAUCCACAGGGUAAGAAGUCCUAUUGGUCUUAAUAUACUCUCAGUUUAGGAACCAAAUUUAAUCAUAUGUAUUAAACAAUUGAGAAGUUUCUGGGAUUACAUAUUGCAAGGGAUGAUACCUUUCAGAAGGAAUUAAAUUGUAACAGGCAUUUCAAUUAUAACACCAAAAUCAUACCAGCAUGAGCUACACAACUUUAGCUAACACCGUAUUAAGCAUUUAGCAUCAUUUACGAAAUGGACACCUUCAUUCAGACACGUAAAAUUUUGCCCAAUGAUUAAUGAUAGCUCUUUAACCGCAUUAUUUUUUGAUAAAAACUUAAAAUGAGAAUUUCUUUCUUUCUCCUUUUUCCUUAAACCUACCUUCUUAUGUUGAAAGUAUGCAUUUGGUAAUAUUGACAUUCCACUGGCAGAUUUGACAUAAGCAUGUUUAACCGUACACGGUACAUACCCAUAAUAAACACUAGUUCAGGGAUCAUGGCGUCUAUGAUAGAUGUCUUCACAACUCCCAGACUGUGCUUUUCUGU
rnacentral:lncRNA from 1 species